rnacentral:rRNA from 1 species
GCAGCGCGACGUUUAUUCGGGCCUAAAGCAUCCGUAGCCGGCUCUGCAAGUCUUCGGUUAAAUCCACCUGCUCAACAGAUGGGCUGCUGGAGAUACUACAGAGCUAGGGAGUGGGAGAGGCAGACGGUAUUCAGUGGGUAGGGGUAAAAUCCUCUGAUCCAUUGAGGACCACCAGUGGCGAAGGCGGUCUGCCAGAACACGUUCGACGGUGAGGGAUGAAAGCUGGGGGAGCAAACCGGAUUAGAUACCCGGGUAGUCCCAGCUGUAAACGAUGCAAACUCGGUGAUGCAUUGGCUUAUGGCCAAUGCAGUGCCGCAGGGAAGCCGUUAAGUUUGCCGCCUGGGAAGUACGGACGCAAGUCUGAAACUUAAAGGAAUUGCGGGGNGGAGCACAAA